AUGCAGAAUUAUGGCCACGAGGACUACGACUAUGAGACUGGGGCUGGACACGACGGCGUUGGCCGCUCGCUUCCGUCGGUUCCUGGGCAACCUGGAGGACCUGGAGUACCUGGAGGACCCGGAGUCCCCGGGGCCCCGGGGAUCAGACCCAUAGUCGACCCUCAGGCCCAGGGUGAGGUGGACCCGACGGUCUACCCGCAGCCGAAGGAGGCGACUCACAAGAUACGUGGAAAGAGCGACAUCCUCGAGUACCUGUUCGGUGCCGUCGACCAGGAGCUCCUCACCGUGAAAACGUUCUACUUCUUCUUCUAUUCCGCAUUUGGCUCCCUGUUUCCACUGAUGGGUGUAUACUUCAAGCAGAUGGGAAUGAACGCUGGGCAGUGUGGUCUUCUCAACGGAUCCAGACCAUUCGUUGAGUUUCUCAGCGCCCCGUUUUGGGGGUCGCUUGCCGACAGAUGGCAGAAGGGGAAGAUGAUUCUCCUCGCAUCGCUCUCCUGCUGGAUAAUCUUCACUCUUCCUCUGGGCUUCAUUGAACCACCAGCUAUAUCUUGUAUGGUUGUAGAAAACGAUUUGCCGAUGCUUAGGAACCCCGAGCGAGACACGCGGAUCGGGAAGCGUUCGGUCAGUAUGGAGAGCUACUACCGUCCCGACGACGACAUGACGGAUCUAGAGACGGCGGAUAACGUGGUUUUCGAAAGGAUUCGCCGAGAUGUUGGCAGGUCCGAAUACGACGAUCGUAGAUCAUCGGAGCGGAUCCGAACGUCGAGUGAUCACGUCAACAUGAGACGAACCCUGGGUUACGAUUUAGAUAAUAAUGAAGUUGACGACGCUCGAAGUCCCUACGACCUGGAGGGUAACAGAGUGAAGCGCGAGACACAUCUCGACCCCGAAGACGGCAUUGUGGAGGAUCUGGAGUACAAGCAAUUCAUGGAAAAUGAGGAGAUCCCGGAUCCACUUGCCCAAUCCGUCGAUUUGAAGAGUUUGGAACGGAGAAACAGACCCGCUGACGUUCUGGAAUACAAAAGGUUUUUAAAGAACGAACCUUUGGAUGAAAGUAGACCGCCGAAGAAGGCCUACGCGAAGUUGAAGGCGCACGUUAAACCCCCAAGAGAAAAAGUAAUGGUGAAGAGAAACAUAAUCAGUAGAGGAUCAGAUAUCCUGCGACAUCACAGGUAUAAGAAGUUGGGUAAACGAGAGACGAAUUCGAGGCAAAUUGUCGCUUCAAAAAAUGAAAUUUACGGUAUGAGCGUGAAGGGUCUGAGGAAAUUGAUGUUCAUCGAAGAUGAAGAAAAGGAAAUGUCUGGGACUAGGAUCCGUCGAUCGGUAAAGGGGUAUCACUUCCCACAAUCAAGUGGCCGAAGUCCAUAUCCGGUCACUUACGCUACAAACUACGACAAAAAAGAACACGCAGAUUUGGUCAAGCCGAUGUUCAGUUCAAUCGUGUACAAAAUUUCGGAUAUCCAAAAGACGUUCUUCCUUCUGCUCCUCCUCGUCAUCGUCGGUGAGUUUUUCUCAGCACCUGCGAUCACCUUGGCUGACUCUGCGGUCAUCACUCUUCUCGGCGAAGACGCAGACAGGUACGGACAUCAGCGUAUGUUCGGGAGUCUGGGAUGGGGUUUGACGAUGUUCUUCGUCGGCAUCGCCCUCGAUCACAGCACCGCGUUUCCGGAUCAUCCCUGCGAGCCAGACCCCAGAGAAAAAAAUUAUACCAUUUGCUUUGCGACAUUUAGCGUCCUUAUGGGGGCCGCAUUGAUCACCGCGACGCAGAUUAACUUCAAGUAUGAUUUUCCCGUUGCAGAACCGGAAGUUUCGAAACCUGCGGCCGAACCAACUCGGGAAGAACAGCUUCAGAGUCAAUUGUCCCAGCAGUUGAAUUUACCAGGCCUUCAAGACUCGUCAGGGAACCCUGACCCCAAGCCCCAACCACCGGAAGGCAAGACGAAAAUGUUCGCGCAAACGACGCGGGAAAUUCCCGAAUGGGUCACAGUCCUGAACCAGUUCAAGGACCUGAAGUGCGCGUCGUUUCUUUUCGUCGCAUGGUUCAUGGGCUUUGGGAUGGGGCUGAUAUUCACUUUCCUGUUCUGGCACCUGCAGGACUACGGCGGAAGUCCCACGCUCUUCGGAGUAGCCUCAGUGAUCAAUCACAUAUCCGAGAUCUUCGCCUACUUCUUCAGCUUCAAAUUAAUCCGGCAAAUUGGCCACGUCAAGGUCCUCUGCCUGGGCCUAGUCGGCAACAUUCUGCGCUUCUUGUACAUUUCUUGGAUCACGAACCCCUGGUGGGUCCUCCCCUUCGAAUUCAUGCAGGGAAUCACGCACGCCACAGUUUGGGCAGCCUGCUGCAGUUACAUCGCUCACAACACGCCACCCCAGCUAAGGUCAAGCGCUCAAGGAGUCCUUCAGGGUCUUCAUCACGGAUUGGGUCGGGGAUGCGGUGCUGUUAUCGGUGGAAUGUUUGUCGCCAGUUACGGCACCACCGCAACCUUCCGAGCCUACGGCCUGGUCUGCUUAGGAGUCUUGGCCGCGUUCAUAUUCAUAAACUUUUACCGAAAGGACACGGGCUUCGUCUCAGACCUACCACAGACGGAAGACCCUCAUCAAGUAGCCGAAGCAACGCAUUUAGCCCCGCACGGUGUUCCUAGUAACGCAAUUCCUCGGGCUCUCAGCUCCAGCCGACUCCACGAGCUGGCAAAUCAGGACCCGGGAUACGGUGCCACUUAUCAGACGUCAGGUGGAAACCUGGAUAUCCCCGGUGGUAAUGGAGGGAACACAAAUCCUACGAAUCCUUUCCUGAACGGUGGAGGAGGAGGAGGAGGAGGAGGAGGAGGCAGUGGAGGUGGAGGUGGAAGUGGAGGCGGUGGUUACAAUUACGGAGUGACCGGCAAAGGGGAGGAUGAAUUUAUUCGUAGGAGUUUCCAGGUCGAGCAUGGAAUAUCCCGUUAAUAUCGAUAGUAGACGUUCAUUAUGUUGUUUGCCCGAUAGUGUCGAAUGAUCAAAUCUUCGCGUCUCGCAGUGUCGCGUCCAGUCAAAUACGAUCUACAGUGAAGUGGUCGGAAGGGAAUACGAUUUAGGAAAAGUCCCGGAGACCUAUCUCCACGCCCAACAACCCUGCACUAAUCCGUUUCACCAGCACGACUACGAGUGGUAACCCUUCUGAUUAUAUCGAUGACAGGACGCGUCGAAAAAUUUAAUCUUCUUGUUAUUCCUCACUCAAAUCUUAUAUUAUAUGGUAUUAUACAUAUUAUAUUAUUGCAAUUUACGUUUCAAGAUAUACGAUUGGAUCGCUUGUUUGGGAAACAACAAGCAACAACAUAUCUCUUUGCUAUGGAUAUCGCGAUAAAGUAAAUAACUCUGCAAA